GUUCCUGUAGUGUAGUGGUUAUCACGUUCGCCUAACACGCGAAAGGUCCUCGGUUCGAAACCGGGCAGGAACA
rfam:Xiphophorus maculatus strain JP 163 A Contig1335.2, whole genome shotgun sequence.